AAAGUCGUAACAAGGUUUCCGUAGGUGAACCUGCGGAAGGAUCAUUACCAAAUAACCGGCCGCCAGGCCAGCCAGAAAGCGCGGGGGUUACCCCUCCCGCGCCGAAGGUAUACCCUUUGUGAAAACCCCUCGUUUGCUUCGGCGGCAUCUUCCUCCCCGGUUUCCCGCGGGGAAGGGUCAGUCCGCCGGUGGCACCCAACCGAAACCCUUUUUAAUGAAAUAAAAGCUGUCUGAAACCAUGGUCGAAUGACUAUAAAACUUUCAACAACGGAUCUCUUGGUUCCC
rnacentral:misc_RNA from 1 species